GGUAGCCUAGUGGUCAUGGUUUCAUACUUGUGUCGUUGAGACGCGAGUUCGAUUCUUCGCAACCA